AUUAGCGAGGCAGUCGGGCCACACUUCGCUCCGUUUGCAACAUGCCGCACGAGACAGAUUGUCCAUGCCAGCCAAGAUAUCACAAAAUGAAAACACAUACACAGCUACGCUAAAAUUUCACAUUAGGGA
rnacentral:lncRNA from 1 species